UGAAAAGAUGUGGAAAAAUGGUAGAGAUGCUGUAAUUUAAACACUUCAAUACUUUGAAUCAUGGAUCACUGGGUUUGGGGCCAGAGUGCGGAAUGUGAUGGUACAAGAUCAGUCUUGGGAAGGAAAUCUCCAUGAAAGCUUGUAAUUUUGAACUCGGAACAUGUUCAUUAGUUGUACCUUAAAGGCUGACUCUCUGGAGGUCACUGGAGGACUCCUAUUGAUUAAGGGGAGUGAGAAUUUCAGGCUGUAUCUGCAGUGGGUCCUAAGUCCAUAUCCACCCUCAGCCAGCAGACACUGGGGGCAUGUCUCCAUCUGGAUUUCAUACCUGACUUCUAGAAAAUGGAUAGCAAAAUGGACGCA
rnacentral:lncRNA from 1 species